rnacentral:rRNA from 1 species
UACGUAGGGGGCGAGCGUCGUCCGGAGUUACUGGGCGUAAAGGGCACGCAGGCGGUCAUGUAAGUCUGUUCUGACAGCUCCUGGCUCAACCGGGAGAGGCGAACGGAAACUGUAUGACUUGAGGACUUCAGAGGGACACGGAAUUCCGGGUGGAGUGGUGAAAUGCGUAGAGAUCCGGAGGAACACCAAAGGCGAAGGCAGUGUCCUGGGAAGUACCUGACGCUCAGGUGCGAAAGCCAGGGGAGCGAACGGG